rnacentral:rRNA from 1 species
GAUGAACGCUGGCGGCGUGCUUAACACAUGCGAGUCGAACGGAAAGGCCCAAGCUUGCUUGGGUACUCGAGUGGCGAACGGGUGAGUAACACGUGGGUGAUCUGCCCUGCACUUCGGGAUAAGCCUGGGAAACUGGGUCUAAUACCGGAUAGGACCACUUCUUGGAUGUUGUGGUGGAAAGUUUUUUCGGUGUGGGAUGAGCUCGCGGCCUAUCAGCUUGUUGGUGGGGUAAUGGCCUACCAAGGCGUCGACGGGUAGCCGGCCUGAGAGGGUGUACGGCCACAUUGGGACUGAGAUACGGCCCAGACUCCUACGGGAGGCAGCAGUGGGGAAUAUUGCACAAUGGGCGCAAGCCUGAUGCAGCGACGCCGCGUGGGGGAGGACGGCCUUCGGGUUGUAAACGCCUUUCGCUAGGGACGAAGCGUUUUGUGACGGUACCUGGAGAAGAAGCACCGGCUAACUACGUG